rnacentral:rRNA from 1 species
GAUGAACGCUGGCGGCGUGCCUAAUACAUGCAAGUCGAGCGAACGGACGAGAAGCUUGCUUCUCUGAUGUUAGCGGCGGACGGGUGAGUAACACGUGGAUAACCUACCUAUAAGACUGGGAUAACUUCGGGAAACCGUAGCUAAUACCGGAUAAUAUUUUGAACCGCAUGGUUCAAAAGUGAAAGACGGUCUUGCUGUCACUUAUAGAUGGAUCCGCGCUGCAUUAGCUAGUUGGUAAGGUAACGGCUUACCAAGGCAACGAUGCAUAGCCGACCUGAGAGGGUGAUCGGCCGCACUGGAACUGCGACAAGGUCCAGACUCCUACGGGAAGCAGCCGUAGGGAAUCUUCCGCAAUGGGCGAAAGCCUGACGGAGCAACGCCGCGUGAGUGAUGAAGGUCUUCGGGUCGUAAAACUCUGUUAUUAGGGAAGAACACAUGUUUAAGUAACUGUGCACAUCUUGACGGUACCUAAUCAGAAAGCCACGGCUAACUACGUG